GGGAGGUAAUUUCAUUACCUUUACAAUUAUAUUAAACAUUAAUUUCGUUUUCUAUUUAGGUUAGCUUAUUAAAACUUUUCAGUCUCAAAGUUUCCCUUAAAUAAGUCAAAAUAGAUUAAAUACACACGAACUGCCAUUUACAUGGGAAACAUGAAACAGCGCGCGCCUCCCGCCCAGCUGACCUCAACCAGAGCGCGCGACCGCGCGUGCACAGCAGAACAACGGUGGCUGACAGGACGCGGUGUUGUUUCUCUGAACUGAGACCCGUUUAAAAUACACAAUAACUUAUUUUAGUUGCUUAAGAGUUAUGAAAACAGCAUGUUAACAUACUUAUUAUGGCUCACAGAAUCUCGCCCGACAGUAUAAACCGUGUUUUAUGCUGCACUGACAGGAAUGUUCAUCUGACAGGAAAUUUCGUUUUAUCAGUUUUGUGGGACAUGUUUGGUGUUUUGGACUGGUGAAGGUAAGAGCAGCGUUACCCUGGCAACCGGAACAUGAAGAGGACCGCGCGCUCUCUCUCCGUCUGACAAAACUACGCCUGCACAAUUCAGAAAUGACAUUUUAAAUUAGCUUAUAUGGAGAAUCCAUUUAAAUGUUCAUUUUAACAUAUGUUUAUUUAAAUGUUUGUAAUGUUCAUGUUCAAUAAAUGAAGUAUUCAA